UGGCUAUGAGGAACAAAAUGUUAACUGAACAACUGUGAUUAGUUUAUACGCUAUUCUGAGCCAAUG